GACGAACGCUGGCGGCGUGCUUAACACAUGCAAGUCGAGCGGAAAGGCCCUUUGGGGUACUCGAGCGGCGAACGGGUGAGUAACACGUGAGUAACCUGCCCCUGACUCUGGGAUAAGCCUGGGAAACUGGGUCUAAUACCGGAUGUGACACCUUGAGGCAUCUCAUGGGUGUGGAAAGUUUUUUCGGUUGGGGAUGGGCUCGCGGCCUAUCAGCUUGUUGGUGGGGUAGUGGCCUACCAAGGCGA
rnacentral:rRNA from 1 species